GCCUGCCUGGCUCAGCUGGUGGAGCAUGGGACCCUUAAUCUCAAGGUUGUGAGUUCAAGUCCCAUGCUGGGUG
rnacentral:tRNA from 1 species